UACAGAGGUCCCAAGCGUUGUUCGGAUUCACUGGGCGUAAAGGGUGCGUAGGUGGCCGGUUAAGUCUGACGUGAAAUCUCCGAGCCUAACUCGGAAACUGCAUCGGAAACUAUCCGGCUCGAGGGUUGGAGGGGGGACUGGAAUACUUGGCGUAGCAGUGAAAUGCGUAGAUAUCAAGUGGAACACCAGUGGCGAAGGCGAGUCCCUGGACAACUCCUGACACUGAGGCACGAAAGCUAGGGGAGCAAACAGG
rnacentral:rRNA from 1 species